rnacentral:rRNA from 1 species
AGAGUUUGAUCCUGGCUCAGGAUGAACGCUAGCUACAGGCUUAACACAUGCAAGUCGAGGGGCAGCAUGGUCUUAGCUUGCUAAGGCUGAUGGCGACCGGCGCACGGGUGAGUAACACGUAUCCAACCUGCCGUCUACUCUUGGCCAGCCUUCUGAAAGGAAGAUUAAUCCAGGAUGGCAUCAUGAGUUCACAUGUCCGCAUGAUUAAAGGUAUUUUCCGGUAGACGAUGGGGAUGCGUUCCAUUAGAUAGUAGGCGGGGUAACGGCCCACCUAGUCUUCGAUGGAUAGGGGUUCUGAGAGGAAGGUCCCCCACAUUGGAACUGAGACACGGUCCAAACUCCUACGGGAGGCAGCAGUGAGGAAUAUUGGUCAAUGGACGAGAGUCUGAACCAGCCAAGUAGCGUGAAGGAUGACUGCCCUAUGGGUUGUAAACUUCUUUUAUAUGGGAAUAAAGUGAGCCACGUGUGGCUUUUUGUAUGUACCAUACGAAUAAGGAUCGGCUAACUCCGUGCCAGCAGCCGCGGUAAUACGGAGGAUCCGAGCGUUAUCCGGAUUUAUUGGGUUUAAAGGGAGCGUAGAUGGAUGUUUAAGUCAGUUGUGAAAGUUUGCGGCUCAACCGUAAAAUUGCAGUUGAUACUGGAUGUCUUGAGUGCAGUUGAGGCAGGCGGAAUUCGUGGUGUAGCGGUGAAAUGCUUAGAUAUCACGAAGAACUCCGAUUGCGAAGGCAGCCUGCUAAGCUGCAACUGACAUUGAGGCUCGAAAGUGUGGGUAUCAAACAGGAUUAGAUACCCUGGUAGUCCACACGGUAAACGAUGAAUACUCGCUGUUUGCGAUAUACGGCAAGCGGCCAAGCGAAAGCGUUAAGUAUUCCACCUGGGGAGUACGCCGGCAACGGUGAAACUCAAAGGAAUUGACGGGGGCCCG